AGCUUCCAUGGUAUGGCGCCCAAGCACCCCAAUCAAUGCAGAACUGUUCUACUAGUUGUUAUUUAUUAGAAACACCCAAGGAUAAUAUAAUUUGUUGCAUCUACAACUGUAUUCGAUUUUUUAAAGAAUCCCAUUCAUUUCCUGAAUGGCUUUUUGCUCAAUUGCUUCCAUGGUAUGGCAACCGAACACCUCAAACCAAUGCAGAACUGUUAUACGAGAUGAUACUAAUUAGACACACCAAAGGAUGAUAUAAUUUGUGGCAAUUUUAUUUGGGUUUUUUUAAGAAUCCCAUUCAUUUCCUAUAGUGAGCUUUGUGGUAUCAUUUAACUCUGAUUGGGAGUAUUGUAUUUGUCGAUCCAGGAUAUCCAAAGCAGCACGCUUCGUACCCCACUGGGACCUGACCUGGUUGUUGUAAUAUGAUAUCAUCUAUGGUCAACACAAAACAAUAAAUUAUUCAUUAUUUUCAAAAAAAAAAAAAAAAAUAGAGGCAACUAGGAUGACCUCCAACUAUAUCCCAAUUUAUCGUCAACUUGUUGACGAAACAUCAUUAGGACUCCAAUGCACCUCAUGUAAAGACUGCGACCCAGGACACGGUUGCUAUGAUUUUGUGUGCAUUAAUUCAUGUGCAUUUCUUUAUCAGGCAACCAAUUGCACAUCCCCUUUUUAGGUGUUGUUCCAUGGGUGUAAGGUAUCUGACAGGGUCUUCAGGGCAGACAAUAGAUGGCUGAAAGCUGAGAUGUAUAGGCGUUGAGCUCACUGUUUACUUCAGCUGUGUUUACGCUUCACGUUUGUGCUUUUCCAGAUAACCCAUCCGCACACAGGUAAGAGAUUGGAACAAUUUGGAGAAAUGCCAUACUGAUGUUUAUGGGGAUUGAACAUAUGCUGUAAUCUCAACCAAUACGUCGGUUUUCAGGCUAAAUGGUUGAUUUAUAUUGACUGUCAAUUCCUUUCUAGCUCCCCUGAUCAUUCUUAACCCGAGAAAUAUGAGCGACAAGUUAACUGCCCUGGAAUCAGGUCUUGCCCUUAUAUAUGGCACAUUUUUGAAAUAUGCAUCUAGUGAAGAAGGCGAUGAUCCCACAACAAUUAGCAAGAAGGAACUUUGUCAAAUGAUUGCUGAACAACUGCCUCACCUUGCAGGGAACGACAUGGCUGAGCAAGUGAUGAUGGAGCUGGACUCAGACCUGGACGGCACCCUGAACUUCCUGGAGUACUGUAGCUUUAUAACUUCUCUGUCCAUGAUCCUCCACAUUAUAGUCUCUGGGGAUCUUUCAUAGUAAA
rnacentral:lncRNA from 1 species